AAGUCGUAACAAGGUCUCCGUUGGUGAACCAGCGGAGGGAUCAUUACCGAGUUUACAACUCCCAAACCCCUGUGAACAUACCUAUCGUUGCUUCGGCGGAUCCGCCCCGGUGCCUUCGGGCCCGGACUCAGGCGCCCGCCGGGGGACCCAAACUCUUGUAUUUCUUUAGUAUCUUCUGAGUAAACAAGCAAAUAAAUUAAAACUUUCAACAACGGAUCUCUUGGCUCUCGCAUCGAUGAAGAACGCAGCGAAAUGCGAUAAGUAAUGUGAAUUGCAGAAUUCAGUGAAUCAUCGAAUCUUUGAACGCAACUUGCGCUCUCUGGUAUUCCGGAGAGCAUGCCUGUUUGAGUGUCAUGAAAUCUCAACCAUUAGGGUUUCUUAAUGGCUUGGAUUUGGGUGUUGCCAGUCUCUGGCUCGCCUUAAAGGAGUUAGCGAGUUUAACAAUGUCGUCUGGCGUAAUAAGUUUCGCUGGUAAGACUUGUGAAGUUUGCUUCUAAUCGUCUUCGGACAAUUACUUUGACUCUGGCCUCAAAUCAGGUAGGACUACCCGCUGAACUUAA
rnacentral:rRNA from 1 species